UACGUAGGGUGCAAGCGUUAAUCGGAAUUACUGGGCGUAAAGCGUGCGCAGGCGGUGAUGUAAGACAGGUGUGAAAUCCCCGGGCUUAACCUGGGAACUGCAUUUGUGACUGCAUCGCUGGAGUGCGGCAGAGGGGGAUGGAAUUCCGCGUGUAGCAGUGAAAUGCGUAGAUAUGCGGAGGAACACCGAUGGCGAAGGCAGCCCCCUGGGUCAAAACUGACGCUCAUGCACGAAAGCGUGGGGAGCAAACAGG
rnacentral:rRNA from 1 species